GGGACAUCCAAGUCGUACUGUACAAGCAGUAGAAACAAACAAGCUUCCUGCUUCUACCGCAGUGGUAAGAGAUUAUCUGCACUCUCCUUCCUCAAUUUGAGUGGUAGAUGAAGAUCACAUGUGUAAAUAAUUAAUUCCUCAGUACUAGCACCAUUACCGGGGAUUUGCAGGCUCGGAUAAGCAUUCCGUUCUUCAUCUCUUCUGCCAAAGUUUCCAAUCAGAAUAGCACAAAACAGUUUUCCUCUUCUUUCUUUUCUGAACGUGCAGCAUCAAUGUUCAAUUCCUGCAGUACGUGUUGAUUUCCACAUCGUACAACAGUUAGCAUCUAUC
rnacentral:lncRNA from 1 species